rnacentral:rRNA from 1 species
GAGGAAUAUUGGUCAAUGGGCGCGAGCCUGAACCAGCCAAGUAGCGUGCAGGAUGACGGCCCUCCGGGUUGUAAACUGCUUUUAGUUGGGAAUAAAAAGGGUGACUGGUCACCCAUUGCAUGUACCAUUAGAAAAAGGGCCGGACAAUUCAGUGCCCGCAGCCGCGGUAAUACGGAAGGUCCGGGCGUUAUCCGGAUUUAUUGGGUUUAAAGGGAGCGUAGGCGGGCUGUCAAGUCAGCGGUAAAAUCGUGCGGCUCAACCGUACCUCGCCGUUGAAACUGGUGGCCUUGAGUGCACACAGGGAUGCUGGAAUUCGUCGUGUAGCGGUGAAAUGCUUAGAUAUGACGAGGAACUCCGAUCGCGAAGGCAGGUGUCCGGGGUGCCACUGACGCUGAGGCUCGAAGGUGCGGGUAUCAAACAGG